rnacentral:rRNA from 1 species
GACGAACGCUGGCGGCGUGCUUAACACAUGCAAGUCGAACGGAAAGGCCCUGCUUUUGUGGGGUGCUCGAGUGGCGAACGGGUGAGUAACACGUGAGUAACCUGCCCUUGACUUUGGGAUAACUUCAGGAAACUGGGGCUAAUACCGGAUAGGAGCUCCUGCUGCAUGGUGGGGGUUGGAAAGUUUCGGCGGUUGGGGAUGGACUCGCGGCUUAUCAGCUUGUUGGUGGGGUAGUGGCUUACCAAGGCCUUGACGGGUAGCCGGCCUGAGAGGGUGACCGGCCACAUUGGGACUGAGAUACGGCCAAGACUCCUACGGGAGGCAGCAGUGGGGGAUAUUGCACAAUGGGCGGAAGCCUGAUGCAGCAACGCCGCGUGCGGGAUGACGGCCUUCGGGUUGUAAACCGCUUUCGCCUGUGACGAAGCGUGAGUGACGGUAACGGGUAAAGAAGCACCGGCUAACUACGUG